UUCAGUUCACAGUUGAACGUGUCCAGAUUGAAUAUGUUAUCUGUGAAAGCUGAUGAUGUUUCACAGGUCUUUCCCUUUCAUUGAAGCACUAAGCAAUGACGUCAGGUCAGGGAUGGCAUCAGAUGGAUGCUGGUGUCAGGGACGAAUGCGUGCUGUUGAUCAGCAGGGGGAGGGGUCAGGACACACCAUUACAUCAUCAUCCAGCAGCGGCAGCGACAACAUAGGCUGUGGUAUUGAUAGCAGACACAUAAACCCCUGCUCACAGCCAGCCAGCUCCGCUGACAACACUAGGCUUCCUGUGUGGUGUGGCCAGUUCAAUUCAAAUUAAAUUGCUGUAUAUUCAAGAUAGUGGGGAUUUCAGGUAAUUCCUGGUAUAUGUUCACAGGUUUCUCUUUUAUUGCACAGUGGCACAACAUAUAAAGUUAUUUUAUGAUGAGCUGCAGAUUCUGAAAUAUCAUUCUUAUUCCUAUUCCAUGAGCUACUCCAUAACACAAAGCGAAAUGAUGGGAUGAUCAUAAGAAUGUUGAGUCCCAAGCCAAUCUCUAAACCCAAUACUAAAACAUGAUUGGUUGACAAGAUUGUAGCACU